GUGCUCAGAAGAACUGGUUCGAAUGUUCUAAUGACAUAUUCCCUUGGUUUAAGUUUUUCAAAUUUUGUUCACAUCACAAAAGAGAGAAAUCACCACCGCCGCCAAAAUACUAUCAACCUUCACCACCGCCGCCAGAAUACUAUCAACCUCCACCACCGACCGAAUGCAAGCCACCUUCACCACCUCCAUACGAGAGUCCAAAAUACGAGCCAUCUCCGCCCAAACCACCCCCAUACCACCCUCCAAGAUACGAACGACCAACAUACAAACGACGUCCCAAGUACACGACACCUUCACCACCGACCGAAUACAAGCCACCUCCAUACGAGAGUCCAAAAUACGAGCCAUCUCCGCACAAACCACCCCCAUACCACCCUCCAAGAUACGAACGACCAACACACAAACGACGUCCCAAAUACACACCACCACCAACUGAGUAUAAAUCUCCACCAAAACAUGAGCCAUUCCCGUACCACCCUCCAAGAUAUGAACCUCCAACACACAAACGACGUCCUAAACACAAGCCAUAUACGCCCAGGACACCCACGUACCACCCUCCAAGAUAUGAACCUCCAACACACAAACGACGUCCGAAAUACGCACCAAAACCAAACAAGCCAUGUCCAGAUCCAUACCAGCCUCCAAUCCACAUCUAGCUAGUCUUCUAGAAUCUAGAUCCAAUAUUAUUCAAUCAUCCAUCCAUGCAAGACCAAUUUGAAUUUCCUAGUGCGUACGAAAUAAUUCUGUCAUUUUAAUUUAAUCAUUACUUUUUCAAUCAAUUAAUUAAUUAAUUAAUCGUGUUUAUGUAGUUAUAUAUGUUUGAAUUUUAAUAAAGAAUAUUGGAUCUUUUGAAUCUAAAAAUGGAGGAA
rnacentral:lncRNA from 1 species